GUAGAGGAUGACGCUUUGCUUUGAUUGCUGCAUGGCUGCAGGCAUUCCCGGGGCAGAGUAGCUGUGGAGCUUCAGUCUGCUGGAUGUAGUGGUAAAUAAUCCCGACUGGGGAGAGAGGAACAGAGAGACACUCUGGAGGGGAAGAAGGAAGGAAGGGAGUGGAUAUGUGUGCAUGGGUAGGAAUAUUGUGUGUCUGUGUUUGGGGAUUUUGGGUUGGAAGGGAAAUAUAAUCACUAAUUUACUUUUUGGAUGGGUGAGCAUUGUUGGCCGUAUUUUAAUAGAAGAAAUGAAGUUUGAGCUACAGUACCUCGUCUGUUGGAUUGGACACGAGGAGCCAGCCUUUGCUCUCCACUGAGCUAUCAUGGGAGAAUGAACAGCAGAACCAGAGCCAGGCGAACUGGGUUCACAGCCUCCGAGACCGACAGAGGCCAGAUGAUAUACAACAGUUCCGACCAGGACUCUGACUCCAGGCAGGAUGACAGCACAGUGGGUUCAGCCAGGGAUGGGGAAAAGCAUCAAAUUGGCACAUCUGAAGCUGAAACGAGAACGUUUGCCCUUAAUUAUCAGAGUUGGUCGGAAUUCUGUUAUCAGAAUUGUUCUAAUUAUCAAAUCUCCCUUGCUGUGGAAAUGAUUGACACUACACAGCAUAUUCUACCACUGCAUCUCCACAGACUGAGAUUCAAAGAAACCCAGGAGCCACAACUCUGCUUCAUCAGGGGCAGAAAAGGUCAUUGGAAACAACACCAGAGGCUUUUCUAGGUAACAGUUUCACUUUCUUCCACCUCUCUGCCAUCCUUCGAUUUUGUGUGAGAAAGACAUCCAUGGCUACUUUGUGACUGUUUGGAGCUACCUGUCUUCCACCCAUUCACCCUGGGAUUUCCCCAGACUGAUUUUUGGUCCUGGGACAUCACCUCUUACCCCCUCUACACUUAGUUUUACAGUUUUCUUCUUGUUCAUUGUUAAGUGUUUCUCAGUAGCCUAUGAGAGGUUGUUUUUACUGGAAUUAUGAAUUAGUAUUGUUAUUAUUAUUAAUUCUUGAUCUGCUCAUUGGCAUGUAUGAACACACAGUUCAUGCAUUGGGUUAGCAAUUAUUAUGAAAUCUGAUUAUAAAUUAUUUGAAUUCUGUUGAGGAAAAAUUGACUCAGCUGGUAACAUUAUGACUAUGCGGAAGUCAGAGUAACUCUUAAGGGGCCAUGAUGGUCAGUACUGCUUGUCAGGUUAUCAAAUAGCUUUUACUCUGCCUUCAAGUGGGAACAACUAUAAACACUUUCGAUUUCUGACAUGGUCAGACAGCACGUAUUAUGAAUUACUUCACAUCAAGCAUAUCCCAAUUCUUGGGUGCCUGAAGUCUUAAAUGCACAAUUUUUAAAUCACUGAGGUGGGAGAAUGACUUCCAACCAACUGAACUGAAUCUUGAACCUGAAUCUACAGUAUUUAAUUAGCUGGUGCAGCUAUCAAGGGCGUUUACACUUUCUCAUCCCUUGAGCAGUAAAAAGGAGCAACUACUAGAUUACCUUUUGACUGGGAAAAAAAAUCCUGCUUCCAACUGGAAAAAAAAAAAAUAAUAUCAUUGUAUAUUUGAUUUUAUGGUUGUACCACGGUAUGUCAUUCUUGCCAAAUACACCUGGCUAUGCAUUCAUGGGAUAUGAAUAUUUAAUUAUAUUACUGCAUAUUAUCUGCAUAUUUAGGCUUCUUCAUAAUGCUUUUUCCACCUCUUGAUGUCAAUAGAUUAAAUUUCACAUGUGCACACAUCUACCCAUAUACCAUGUUCUUGGAUCUCAAGACCAGCUCGCCACUGUGAAGCAGUACAUCCACAUCUGUCUUACUGAUUAAACAUUCCUUUGUUGAAGCUACAUGCUCUCUUUGUCUGUAUUCAUGCUGUUCUGUAUUCCAUAUCUGUAAUCUGCCCUCCACUGCUGUCACAAGCCAUUUUCCCCAUAGGGACUAUUAAUGUGUGAAUGUUAUUGUCCUGGCUUCUGUUCAGCUCAUCCACUCGCAGCUGCCUUUGCCACCUGAUGAUCAAGAAAUCCGCAAACAGUGGUUUUACAGGCAACUGUAAAAGUAGUACAUUUAUCAUGCGUUAGGCAGUGCUAAUCUAGGAGAGAUGUGAUCAGUGCUGUAUAAAGUCUGGUGUGGAAUACUUACAUGGUCAUUAUUUCUUGAAUAUAGAAGAGCCAAACGUGACUUCAGUAUCUCAUGUAAUGUAGUAAACAUUACUCAGUAUAAAACCAGAUGUUUGUGAGGAGAUGUAACGCAAUACAUCAGACAGCAUGCAGUAAAAUGGCUUCUAAGGUAAAACAGUGUGCACAAAAUGUCCAUUCAUGCUGUACAAUUAAUUUUCUCUGUAAAAGUAAAAUUACUCUAAGCAACA